AUGAAGAGGCAGUGGACAUUCGGUUCAGAGUUCGUCUCCGUAUUGAAGCUUAUUGGUCCAAAGAGCUCAGUGCAUUAUGUGGAGUACUCUCGACGUCACAACUACAACAGGACUUUUGAUGUUUGGGUUUGGACGCCUGACCCGAGCUCCAUCCCCAAGACGUCACGCUUCACCAUCACCCACCCUGACGUAGAAGGAGAGCCGGUGGACACCCCUUUCCCCGACCUCGAGCCGGAGCAGCCAGCACCAUGGGACACGAAGAAAGGACUCACUUACCCAGUUAUCAUUCAUGUUGAUUCAGUCCAAGACUUGGUGGCGUUAUGGGGCUAUCAGUGGCGUUAUGGUGAGGCCGAUGAUGCAGCUAGAGCAAGGAUGGUGUCUUGUCCGCUAGGAGCUUGCAAGACCCUUCCUGCACCAGAAAGGCGUUCAAAUGAUGAAGAUGAUCAUAGUGACCACCGCUCAAGAAGAAGGCACAGAAGCAGAUCCCUAUGGGAUCGUUUGGGUGGCCGCCGAUCCAGCAGAAGCAGGGAACCAGUUCAAGGAGGACGAGGAACUUUCACUGAAGAAAACAGAGGCCGACAGAGGGCACAUGAAGAAGGAGACAGUAGGGGCUUCAGCAGGCACCUCUCUCGCACGAUCGAGCCGGGAGAAACAAGAAUUAGAAGACAAUCAGUGUCAGCAGUUCAGCGCUCCUCAGAGAAUCAUGCUCCUCUGCAGUCCAACAAGAACUCGACAAAGGUCGGCUCCCCCUGCAAGUCUCUUUCAAGCAAUAGAAGCAAGAGCCCGGAUGCAGGCUCCGCUCCAUCUCUCCCCUCUCCUGCUGUCCCAGUUGCCUCACCUGAUUUAGCCCCUCUAAUGCAGGUUUCGGGUGCUGUCCUGGAUAUCCUAGAGAAGCACCUGGACCCCAUGAUCCAUGAAGCUGAAAUGGCACAUGCACUGUAUUCUCCAGAUACUACACUUCCACGUCCU
rnacentral:lncRNA from 1 species